UCCGGUUUAUCACCGGCAGUCUCCACAGAGUCCUCGGCUUUACCCGUUAGUAACUGUGAACAAGGGUUGCGCUCGUUGCGGGACUUAACCCAACAUCUCACGACACGAGCUGACGACAGCCAUGCACCACCUGUGAGAGUGCCCCGAAGGGAGACCGUGUUUCCACGGCUGUCACUCACAUGUCAAGCCCAGGUAAGGUUCUUCGCGUUGCGUCGAAUUAAACCACAUGCUCCACCGCUUGUGCAGGCCCCCGUCAAUUCCUUUGAGUUUCACACUUGCGUGCGUACUCCCCAGGCGGGAUGCUUAAAGCGUUAGCGACGGCACCCGGGGACUUUAUUACCCCGGACACCAAGCAUCCAUCGUUUAAGGCCAGGACUAC
rnacentral:misc_RNA from 1 species